GGGUGUGUGGUGGAGGGGGAGGAAAAAAAGGGAAAAAAGGAAAAAGCGCAGCCAUUGCUUCGCAGAGGCUCCAAUCCGCUGCUUCACUCAAGCACGGGACAAGUGGCUCCGCGGAUGCUCCGUCCUGAACGUUCAAACGGCGCAAGGAGCGGGAAUACAAACCGGGCUGUGGGCUUUUUUCAUUUCUGCAGUACAAAAUCAGGGAGAAAAUGCGCACAGAGAGGAAGAAAGAGAGAUGCUGUAACGGAUACGCGCACCACCUCGCGAGCCCAGCCACGAGCGUGUAUGCGGCGGCCUACAUGCAACACGAAGCCACUUCGACGCCCUUCGUGUUCAUAUUGCAGGACUUUUCAAAUAGCAGAAGACGAUUCUUUUGGUUGAAGCGGUUUGACGGUCAUCGUGCAAUGUCUUUAAAAAAAACGUAAUCAGCCUUUUUCCUGUCUUUUUGCAUCACUUUUUUAAUAACGCAAAUUGGGAAUGCACAGGAUAUUAAUUCGAGAAGGCCUUUCAAGAGUCUCGCACUGGAACGUAAAGUCAAAUUUGCCCCAAAAGUGGGAGAAAAUGAAGAUUUUGGAAGGACUGAAGAGUGUUGCAGGGGGUUUGUGAAAAAAAAAAAACGUAAGUGAGUAUAAGUAUAUGUAUAUGUGCGUGUAUGUAUGUAUGUAUGUAUGUGUGUGUUGAAGUGUUUGAGCUCUGAGUUAGCUCUUGAGUUAAGACUUCGGCUCUCCGUGUUCACAGCGGACCUUGAUUUAAUGUCUUACAAUUAAGGCACGCGGUGAAUGCCAAGAGCUCCUGUUCGAAAUCCUACGCCUUUUUGCUCACAUGCCAUUGCAUUUUAUUUCAUUAUUUACUUUUUUUAUUUUGCCCCUCAAUAAAAUAAAGCAUGACAAGUG